AUAGACUACGAGGCAGCUUAACCACAGGAAGCCAGAUGAAUGGUGUGCUUCUCGGCUCAUUUAUGAACCCCAACAUCAGGCAACAAAGAUACCAGCAAUCCUCGGCUGAUAAUACCAGAGAGUUGCUUCUGUCUUGCCUGAAAGGAGCAUCAAGACCUCAGGGUCAGCAAUCAGUGCCUGGGACUUCAGCCCUAACACCCAGCUCUAACUCCACUUGAGGUAGAACCCACCUCUACUUCAACCAUAGCUCCAACUCUGGGGCAGCCAUCUGAGGAAUGAGCGCAAAUCAUGUGACCAUCUGAGGUCAGAAGAGGGUAUCAGAUUCCCUGGAACUGGAAUUACAGUGGGCAAGGUAGUGAGCUGCCAUCUAGGUGUUGGGAUUUGAACCCAAGUCCUCAGGAAGAACAGUCAAUCCUCUUAACAGCUGAGCAAUCUCUCCGACCUUGAAAUAAAAGUUUUUACAGAUUUAUUUUCAUUGCCUUUUUUAUUUUAUUUCAACUGGAGUUCUGUACUUGACAACUAUGCAUAGAAGCCACAUGAACAUACUUAAUCUCUUCUUGACUCUUGUUUUGGGGAUGGGGAGAGAAAAAGCUAUGUCCUUCAUUUCUUAAAAUUUUCAACCCCAAAUACAAGCAAGAACUCAUGUUCACUGAAAGUUAUGUUAAAGAACUAUUCUUGAGCAGGCCUUGUGUUCCAGCCUUAAUCUAAGCACUUAACUGAGGAAAAAGCAGCAGGAAUAUCUCUUGAGUUCAAGGCUAACUUGGACUACAUAUCAGGUUCUAGGCCAGCCACUACAUUUUCCUGCCAUGUCCAUUAAAGAUGGUUAAGGCUGUGUAGUUGGUUGCCCCAACCACACUAGACAUUUCUUUUCAUAACAUAGCAAGGAUGAAAACACAAAGUCUAGGGGUGCAGUACAUGAGAAACUAUCUAAGACCCAAGGAGUUUGCAUGCUAGGACCUCAAGAUGGCUUCUCUACUUCCAGACAACAUUUUUGGUUUCUAUUUUAUGUGGUAUAUUUUUCUCUGUCCCUUCAUUUUUCAUCUGUUUCUUUCCAUUUAAAGCUGGUUUCUUUUAGACAACCUACAAUUGAAUUUUGUUGGGUUUCAACCACUCAAGCCCAUUGUCUCACAUUUUGUAUAUCUAGACUGUUGAUGUUUAAAGUAGAUUAUUGAUUUAGUUAGAUUAUGUACCUGUUAGUCUUCAUUGUUAACUUGACUGGAUUUGGAAUCAAAUAGAAGAUACCUCUUCUAUCCAUGUGAGUGUUUCUAGAGGGGUUUAACCGAGAAAGGAAGACUUAUCUUGAAGGUGAGUGGGACUAUCAUAUUGUCUGAGUCCAGAAGGAAUAAAAGGGAGAAAAGAAGGAAGGUAGCACAGCCUUCAUUCAUCUCCCUCUGCUUCCUGACUACACACAAUGUGACCAGCUACAUCCUCAAGUUCUUGUCUCCAUGACUUCCCCACCAUGGCUGACCAUAUUCUCUUGAUCUGUGAGCACAGAUAAACCCUCUUUAAGUUACUUUUGUCAGGUAUUUUGUUACAGCAAUGAGAAAAAUAUCUAAUUAGAUUAAUACUCACUAGUGUCUCUGUUUACUUUCUGUUGUUGUGCUGGGUACUGGGAUUUUGUUUCUUCUGUAUUUUUGUUUCGUACUGUUUUUUGCCUUGUCUUGCUAACUGAGCAUUUUAUGUGAUUCUGUUUUUCUUCCUCUCUUACUAUAUUGACUAUACUUUUUAAGAACUUUUUACAGCUGCUCCCCUUGAAUCUUCAGGAUGCAUUUACAGCUGGCCUACACUCUCUUUCAAAUAGUUCAAGUAACUUCUAACAUCUUGGUUUCCCUUCUGUCCCUUCCAACACUGUCAUCCACUGCACAUAUUUGUGAGAUACAAUUUCUGAACACAUUGUUGAACUAAUUUGUUGAACUAAUUUGAACAUGUCAUUAUCUGUUUGAUCAACUAAAAAUAAGAAAUUUUCAGGCUAUA